UACGUAGGGUGCGAGCGUUAAUCGGAAUUACUGGGCGUAAAGCGCACGUAGGCGGCUUUGUAAGUUAGAGGUGAAAGCCUGGAGCUCAACUCCAGAACUGCCUUUAAGACUGCAUCGCUUGAAUCCAGGAGAGGUGAGUGGAAUUCCGAGUGUAGAGGUGAAAUUCGUAGAUAUUCGGAAGAACACCAGUGGCGAAGGCGGCUCACUGGACUGGUAUUGACGCUGAGGUGCGAAAGCGUGGGGAGCAAACAGG
rnacentral:rRNA from 1 species